CACUCAGCCAUCUCUCC
rnacentral:tRNA from 19 species